AUCAAAAGGACAAAAAAAAAAAAAAAAAUCUUGGUAUAAUGGCUCAGACCCUACAUCUAACUUUUGUGGCUAUCCUGAUCAAUGGUUUCUUUCAAUGCCAUUUGAUCCCAGAAACACCACAUAUAUUA